rnacentral:rRNA from 1 species
CUACGUAGGGGGCGAGCGUUGUCCGGAAUGAUUGGGCGUAAAGGGCGCGUAGGCGGCCCGGUAAGUCUGGAGUGAAAGUCCUGUUUUUAAGAUGGGAAUUGCUUUGGAUACUGUCGGGCUUGAGUGCAGGAGAGGUAAGUGGAAUUCCCAGUGUAGCGGUGAAAUGCGUAGAGAUUGGGAGGAACACCAGUGGCGAAGGCGACUUACUGGACUGUAACUGACGCUGAGGCGCGAAAGUGUGGGGAGCAAACAGGAUUAGAUACCCUGGUAGUCCACACUGUAAACGAUGAAUGCUAGGUGUAGGGGGUAUCGACCCCUUCUGUGCCGCAGUCAACACAAUAAGCAUUCCGCCUGGGGAGUACGGCCGCAAGGUUGAAACUCAAAUGAAUUGACGGG